UCUCGAUCGCGUGAAAGUUAACUCAUAUUUGUAUGGAGUUGGAACGUUUACCCACGUUUGCCGCUAGGGGCGCUGUUCCAACUCCAUACAAAUUUGAGUUAACUUUUACGCUAUCGA
rnacentral:pre_miRNA from 9 species